UACGUAGGGCGCAAGCGUUAUCCGGAAUUAUUGGGCGUAAAGAGCUCGUAGGCGGUUUGUCGCGUCUGCCGUGAAAGUCCGAGGCUCAACUUCGGAUCUGCGGUGGGUACGGGCAGACUAGAGUGAUGUAGGGGAGACUGGAAUUCCUGGUGUAGCGGUGAAAUGCGCAGAUAUCAGGAGGAACACCGAUGGCGAAGGCAGGUCUCUGGGCAUCUACUGACGCUGAGGAGCGAAAGCAUGGGGAGCGAAUGGG
rnacentral:rRNA from 1 species